rnacentral:rRNA from 1 species
GGAGCUAUAAUGCAGUCGAGCGAACCAAUAAGAAGCUUGCUUUUUGUUGGUUAGCGGCGGACGGGUGAGUAACACGUGGGUAACCUGCCUGUAAGACCGGGAUAACUCCGGGAAACCGGUGCUAAUACCGGAUAGAUUAUCUUUCCGCCUGGAGAGAUAAGGAAAGAUGGCUUUUGCCAUCACUUACAGAUGGGCCCGCGGCGCAUUAGCUAGUUGGUGAGGUAACGGCUCACCAAGGCGACGAUGCGUAGCCGACCUGAGAGGGUGAUCGGCCACACUGGGACUGAGACACGGCCCAGACUCCUACGGGAGGCAGCAGUAGGGAAUCUUCCGCAAUGGACGAAAGUCUGACGGAGCAACGCCGCGUGAGCGAAGAAGGUCUUCGGAUCGUAAAGCUCUGUUGUUAGGGAAGAACAAGUAUCGGAGGAAAUGCCGGUACCUUGACGGUACCUGACGAGAAAGCCACGGCUAACUACGUGCCACCAGCCGCGGUAAUACGUAGGUGGCAAGCGUUGUCCGGAUUUAUUGGGCGUAAAGCGCGCGCAGGCGGUCCUUUAAGUCUGAUGUGAAAUCGUGCGGCUCAACCGCAAGCGGUCAUUGGAAACUGGGGGACUUG